rfam:Biomphalaria glabrata isolate BB02 unplaced genomic scaffold LGTN_random_Scaffold3408, whole genome shotgun sequence.
GGCACGAUGGCCGAGUGGUUAAGGCGUUGGACUUAAGAUCCAAUGGAAGUAUUUCCGCGUGGGUUCGAACCCCACUCGUGCUA